rnacentral:lncRNA from 1 species
GGGGGUGCAUCAUUGCCCCUUUUUACAGUCUCGAUCAGUUUUGAACUACCAACCCCUACACCCAUCUUAUGGACCCUCACUUCCCAAUCUUCCUCACUAUGUAUUCUCUCUUUUACUGUUAUCUCAACCUAUUCAUACUCUGUUCUCUGUCUCUUCCUCUUUUUAUUAUUCUUACUCUUCCUUUCUCCUUCAAAAUUUCCUGCAGGGGUUGAAUAAUCAUCCGCCCA